UGCGCCGUCCUGGCCGUUGACAUUUGUGUACCACAAGUAAACAAAGAAUAGAGACAAAAGUAGAACGAGUUCAAACUGUCAAAACAGUUCACUUUACAGCGAAAGUGGUGUUUUAAUUUUGAUCAAUGCGAAAAUAUUGCAUUUUUCAUCUAAUCUAUUGGAGAAUAGUGAACGUUUUAGUGCACUCCAUGCUUUGCAAUUAAGGCUGCUGCAGCAAACGUUUUAGUGUACUCCAUUGCUUUGCAAUUAAGGCUGGUGCAGCAAACUGCGCCAGCAUCUGAGUGGGAUUGAUUAGUUAACUUGCUAAAGGAGGCUGCUUGGAGCAGAACCGAUAUGAUUGUGAUAAAAUGCUGUAAAUAUAAUAAUAAAAAAACAUUUCGGCUUUGGCACGCCCUGUAUACACAAAAUGCAGCGAUUCGUCGCAGCGUUACAUUUGCAUCUACGCAUAAUGAGAUGGGGCACCAUGGCACACUUCAUGGAAGGACAACAGCGCGAAUCGGAGCCAUGCAGUGUGCAUGAGUGCAGUACUACCAACAGCUGUUCCUGCAAAUCGUGAAUAUCGUGAAGCAUCUGGAACGCAACUAUUAUUUCGUACCUUUGUCGUUUACGCAACAUACCUGAAGAGCUGGAACAAAGACAUAAAUCACAGGGAUUGAUCCGGCCCAAUAAAUAUGCAGGGAAAACUUUUGCUUUUUGUCGCAGGCGAAUCGAGAAAAUCUACUUUCCUCAAAGAGAUGCGUAUAAUACGCGGCAUUAUUUAUGAACUCGAACUUAUUCCAGAAUACAGUGAGAAGUGAUAUAUUAAAAUGUAUUACGAGGAAAGCACGUAUUGAUUGAUGCUCGUCAAAUACUGGGAAUCCCAUAGGGAAACACCGAACAAGAAACAAUGCGAAAUAGGCGAAAUUAAUUGAAUGUAGUAAAGUGGAAAUCGACAAUUUCAUACAGUGGGCUCCAUAUAUUCGUAGACUAUGGCAAGAUCCUUUUGUAGUUUUCUACUUCAAUAUUGACAUAACUCCAAAACCAAACGCUCGAAAAAACUGUUUUCAAGUUUUAAAUUUUACCUUAAUUUAGAAAGGCCCCUAUCGUCGCUGAAAUAUAAAAAAGCCAUAACUAACUAUAAUUUAUAUUGCAUAAACGAUGAAACGCAUCAUAAUCAAUCGAAAAGCGAGUUUUGCAUAUUGAGUUAGUUACGGCAUUUUGUAUUUUAACGACGAUGUGAGAUAUGGCCCUUCUAUGUUAAGGUAACGAUAUACUCCCAUAUCAAAAAUGAAUACUUAUUUUGCUCUACUGAGCUAGUGGUAAUCAGUGCA